GACCCGCCCCCUACAUCCGGGGCCUGGGCGGCAGCAGGGCCGCCGCGGGGAGGUCACGUGGCUCCUUCCUUUCCGUCUCUGGCCGGCUGGGCGCGGGCGACUGCUGGCGAGGCGCGUGGGACCUUACGCUGGUUCCCCUUCGUCUCCUCUCCCGGCCCGGGCCACUAGAGAGUUCGCUGACGCCGGGUGAGCUGAGCCUGCCGCCAAGAUGCCGGCCUAUUUUCAGAGGCCGGAAAAUGCCCUCAAACGCGCCAACGAAUUUCUUGAGGUUGGCAAAAAGCAGCCUGCUCUGGAUGUUCUUUAUGAUGUUAUGAAAAGUAAAAAACAUAGAACAUGGCAAAAGAUACACGAACCAAUUAUGUUGAAAUACUUUUUUUUGAUUUUGAAAUAUCUGAUAAUAAUUUGGAAUGAAGUAAGGUUCUGUUAAAAUAUAUUUGAAGACCCUUUAAAGCAGUGAAUCUGAAACAAUUUUCACACCCUUAAGUGGUUGAUACGUACCUAUUUUAGGUAUUUUGAGGUAUUUACCAUAAACUAAAUUUAGAAAUUUUUUAGAUUCACUUGAAGUAAACAUUACAAACAUUGGAUACGGUGGGGUUUUCUUUAGAUUUUACUUGAGAGAAGGUGAGUACAAAGCAAUUUGCAGUUGUUGUAAUGACAAGAUUACUGCGCAAGUGUGAAUCCAAACAGUAUAGCUUUUAAAUUUUAAAGCAUUUGGU
rnacentral:lncRNA from 1 species